rnacentral:rRNA from 1 species
AUGCCUUACGAUGAGCGGUACACACCGUACAUCAAGCAGGCAGGAUUACUCCCGUGGAUUCUGUUGGUCAGCCGGUCCACGCCGAAUCUGAACGCUUCACUGGUGUCUGCUCUUGUUGAUCGGUGGAGGCCAGAGACCCACAGUUUCCAUCUUUGAACCGGGGAGAUGACCGUGACGCUCGAGGAUGUCUCGUUGAUCACCGGUCUUGCUAUCGACGGGAGGCCUCUAUGUAUGAGCACCGAUUCUGAUGGGUGGCGCGAGCAGAUGAUUGCUCUUAUCGGUAUGGCUCCUACCGAGGCUGAGGAUGAUGUAGAGGAGGGAGAAGAGAAGAAGAAGAGGGAAAGGAAGGCAGCCGGAGCUGCUUUCACGUGGAUUCAAAAUAACUUUGCGACGUGCCCUCCGGAUGCAACUGAUGAUGUGAUCCAGACACAUGCCGUCCUUCCAUCCUUCCGUCCUUCCGUCCUUCCGUCCAUGCUUUCUUUCGGUCGGUGGACACCUUCACCUUGCAAACAUCUCCACACCAACAAGGCGGGAUGUUGA